AAACUGAGUAUGCAGUGUUGUGGUCAAAUUAUUUCCGAUUCAUUUGAGACAUGCAAAACUUUUUAAAGAUUUGUAAAUACUGAGGAAAAUGUCGCUGUUUUGCUAUCAUCUUAAAAGGUUUUAAAUUCUUAACAUUUCUUCAUUCUUUCUAGAAUAUACAUCUGUACUUUUAAGAGAAACCAAAAUUUUCAAAGAAUAGAUUAUAGAUUUCUCACUCACAUUCUAUUUAGACCAAGGUUUAAAGGGUACCGUUGUGAAUUAGCAAUGCUAUUCUAAUAAGAGAGAUUAGAUUUUGAUGUCAAGUAACUCAAUUUAAAGUUCGGUAUGACUGUUUUACAAUUGUGACCUUAAAAGCUUUGUACGAUGAGGAAUGUAUGAGAUAUCCAUAAUAUUCUCUUUGAAAAUUUAUUAUUUUCGUUCUCUGUACAGUGACUUGUGCAUUUCUGCUACAGAAACGAUGUAAGACACGAAGAUAUAUCUCACAUUAUUGAUCAGAUAAAGGUUUCAAGGGUACCGUUAGGGUUCGAACAUGCCACUUAAAAAAUAAAAUAAUACUUGUCUUGAAGAAUGUAAAGUUAUAGAAUUUAGAUGUUUAAGUUUCUUGAUCAAUGUAUAUUGUACAACAAUGCACAGAAUAUAUUACACCAUGUAACGUACUGAUAAACAGUUGUACACUGUAAUUAUUGUAAUGUAAUUCUCAAUGUGAGUUUGUAACUAAUCCAUCCGAAAUAAAUAUUGUACUUCUUUAA